ACGGUCAUUUCUAUAUACGCAAUUUUGUUACUUUUUAUUUCUGAAAACUGAGACUACUACCGCGUCUCAUCAUGUUUUCCCCAACGACUAGUCACAGUUCAGAGAGAGAGAGAGUGGGUGUGUUAAACAGUCUUCGGCAAACAUUCAAGGUAUUUCUUUGCAUUAUUUAUUAUUUAUCCUUUCAUGACUUGCUGAGCUAAUAAACCCAGGGGCCUGUGCCAGAGCUGUGGUGAUUUGCUGCUUCACGGUGCCCGACAAAGGAAAUACAUUCACUGAUGUCAAAGGCUAUUCAUUUGUAUUUUCAGCUCUGCACUCCUUUCCCCGGAAGGCUUCUGCAUAUUCCAGAGUGCUUCGUUGCCAGUCUUUGUGGACGUGGCAGUUCGUCUGGAUUUUUCUGUAGGAAGACAUCCACGAUUGCUCUACCAUGUUGCGGUACCCGGGCCUUUACAUCAGAGACGGUGACAACUGGUGUUUCAAGAGGUCCCCGAAGACCCCGAAUACGCAGGCGCAAGAAGCUUUGAACAUUCGCCAUGUUGACAGUGCGUGCCACGUGAUGAUCGCUUCAGACCGUAUCGAAACAUUAAAGAGGAGCAGGCGACCACUUGGACAUGAACUUUGUGGUACACGAAUAGCAACCUGUUCAUAGCAUCAUUCGUACUCCCGGACUCAGCCGGAGGCCCAAAUUCCACUGAGUGCCUCUCAAUGUCUCAUCAGAAACUCAGCGUGCUCUUCCCACAAACUAAUCAUGCUUUUUUGAUCGGUGCGCAGGCUUCAUCUUUGUCUGUAAAAAUUACCCCAAAGUUGAUAUAUUCUUUCACAUUUUGCUUUCUAUAGGCCUAACUGUGUUUCUAACUUCGGAAAUCUGCGAUGGGCUGUGCGACUACAGCAUAUGCAUCGACUUAAAGUAUGUGUGAACACAUACUCAUACAAGAGUGUUGUUAUCAUCGUUUUAUUGCAGUCCUGUAUACGUGUAGUCCU
rnacentral:misc_RNA from 1 species